UGUGAAAGGAUGAUAAAAUCAGACGGAUUCCCAAUGAUAAUCCAUGAUAUCACAACCAGCUACUUCUGAUCACA